UACGUAGGUGGCAAGCGUUGUCCGGAUUUAUUGGGCUUAAAGGGCGCGUAGGUGGCCCUGCAAGUCAGUGGUGAAAUAUCUCAGCUUAACUGAGAGGGUGCCAUUGAUACUGCAGGGCUUGAGUACAGAUGAGGUAGGCGGAAUUCACGGUGUAGCGGUGAAAUGCAUAGAUAUCGGGAAGAACACCGAUAGCGAAGGCAGCUUACCAAGCUGUAACUGACACUGAGGCACGAAAGUGUGGGGAUCAAACAGG
rnacentral:rRNA from 1 species